rnacentral:rRNA from 1 species
GACGAACGCUGGCGGCGUGCUUAACACAUGCAAGUCGAGCGAGGCCCUCCUUCGGGAGGUGUCCUAGCGGCGAACGGGUGAGUAACACGUGGGCAACCUGACCUCAGCGCUGGGAUAACCCCAAGAAAUUGGGGCUAAUACCGGAUACGACCGCUGACCGCAUGGGCGGGGGGUGGAACGAGUUAUCGGCUGAGGAUGGGCCCGAGGCCUAUCAGCGUGUUGGGGGGGAAGUGGCCUACCAAGGCGACGACGGGUAGCCGGCCUGAGAGGGUGACCGGCCACACUGGGGCUGAGACACGUCGCAGACUCCUACGGGAGGCAGCAGUGGGGAAUAUUGCGCAAUGGGCGGAAGCCUGACGCGGCGACGCCGCGUGGGGGAUGACGGCCUUCGGGUUGUAAACCUCUUUCAGCAGGGACGAAGCGAAAGUGACGGUACCUGCAGAAGAAGCACCGGCCAACUACGUGCCAGCCGCCGCUGUAACAC